rnacentral:lncRNA from 1 species
UGAUUUCAGCAAUGAAUCUGACUAUGGGUGACGCAAUAAAGAAUUCAACGGAAAAGCAAAUAUCAAAUGAUACAGAUAUUGCGUGUUAUUUAUAGAAAGAAAGAAUCCGAAAUUCAAUGUGAAAUGUCAUUAACAAGUGGGAGUCUGGAAAAACAGAAGUAGGUACGAAAUAAUUCAUCGUCAAAGCGGGAUUAAAGUUGUCAGACAGGGAAGCAUGUUCGAAGUUUAAACUUUGAUUAACACGAGGAAAAUUAUGCCUCACCUGAUGGUCAAAACGUUUCUGUAGCAAGGAUCCUGGUUUCUCCAGCGAUGCAAUCAUUAAAACCAUCAAACCUGGUUGUUCCGUCAGACAUCGGGUGCCAGAGUGAAUUUCAUCAGGCCAUCGCCACCUUCUUAACA